GGGUAGCCUAGUGGUUAGAGUGGAGGGGCGGCAGGGUAGCCUAGUGGUUAGAGUGGAGGGGCGGCAGCGUAGCCUAGUGGUUAGAGGUGAGGGGCGGCAGGGCAGCCUAGUGGUUAGAGUGGAGGGGCGGCAGGGUAGCCUAGUGGUUAGAGUGGAGGGGCGGCAGGGUAGCCUAGUGGUUAGAGUGGAGGGGCGGCAGGGUAGCCUAGUGGUUAGAGGGGAGGGGCGGCAGGGUAGCCUAGUGGUUAGAGAGGAGGGGCGGCAGGGUAGCCUAGUGGUUAGAGUGGAGGGGCGGCAGGGUAGCCUAGUGGUUAGAGGUGAGGGGCGGCAGGGUAACCUAGUGGUUAGAGGUGAGGGGCGGCAGGGUAACCUAGUGGUUAGAUUGGAGGGGUGGCAGGGUAGCCUAGUGGUUAGAGUGGAGGGGUGGCAGGGUAGCCUAGUGGUUAGAGUGGAGGGGCGGCAGGGUAGCCUAGUGGUUAGAGUGGAGGGGUGGCAGGGUAACCUAGUGGUUAGAGGUGAGGGGCGGCAGGGUAACCUAGUGGUUAGAGUGGAGGGGCGGCAGGGUAACCUAGUGGUUAGAGUGGAGG